UUAGGGUUACAUGCAUGUCUGAAACUGCUUAUAGCGCUCAGGAAGUUAUCUCAUCACCACUCAGUCUUAGGCACUCCCAGGGAAGCACUAUCAAUCUUGGAAAGAGUUGGUGCAGGUUUAAAAGCUACAAUUGAAGUGGGAUGUGGAUGGGGACAAUUUCCACCUCCCAUAAGAUGCAGAGAAAAUGAGGUGAUAGUAACUGCCCUCUUCACUACCGUCCACAGCAACGAAUCCAGAUUACAGCAAGAAAAGGACUUGCACUUCGUCCAAUAAAUGAUUGAUUUGCUCCACAGGGAAGUGCUGGGGGAUAUGACCUCCUCCUGCAACUGAUCUUCUGAAACUUUAACAGCUACUUUUAAAGGUCUGUUUUCUGUCCCACAGAAAAAAACUCUCAGUGAAUCUUAAGAUUUCUUAGGAUCAGUCAGACCUAACAUGCACAUAAUCAACAGAAAUAAAUAAACUGAACUCUCCUGUGCUUUGCA
rnacentral:lncRNA from 1 species